CACUCCUGCGGGAGGCAGCAGUGGGGAAUAUUGGACAAUGGGCGCAAGCCUGAUCCAGCCAUGCCGCGUGAGUGAUGAAGGCCCUAGGGUUGUAAAGCUCUUUCACCGGUGAAGAUAAUGACGGUAACCGGAGAAGAAGCCCCGGCUAACUUCGUGCCAGCAGCCGCGGUAAUACGAAGGGGGCUAGCGUUGUUCGGAUUUACUGGGCGUAAAGCGCACGUAGGCGGACUAUUAAGUCAGGGGUGAAAUCCCGGGGCUCAACCCCGGAACUGCCUUUGAUACUGGUAGUCUUGAGUUCGAGAGAGGUGAGUGGAAUUCCGAGUGUAGAGGUGAAAUUCGUAGAUAUUCGGAGGAACACCAGUGGCGAAGGCGGCUCACUGGCUCGAUACUGACGCUGAGGUGCGAAAGCGUGGGGAGCAAACAGGAUUAGAAACCCUGGUAGUCCCA
rnacentral:rRNA from 1 species